rnacentral:lncRNA from 1 species
UUUGAAAACGGAUUAAAGUUGAUUAAUUAAGUUUAUUAAUUUUUUUCUCUUUUAAUUUUUAUGUUCUCUAAAUUGAUUUUUGGAUCUGAUAUGAUAUUAUAGGAAGAGUAAAGAUGAAUAAUAGGAAAAUUGAUUCUUUUUUCAAAAGGAAAGCAUGUGAAAUUGAAAGAGAAGAAAGAGAUGAAGAAAUUAUAAUCCCG